UUCAUUCCUAGUGAUUUCUGGUUGAUCCUGGCAGAGGCUACUGCUAUUGGGAUUCGAUUAAGCCAUGCAAGUUGAAUGAAUUUAGAUUCAUGGCGUACGGCUCAGUAACACGUGGAUAACUUACCCUUAGGACUGGGAUAACUCUGGGAAACUGGGGAUAAUACCGGAUAUUAGGCUAUGUCUGCAAUGGUUUGCCUUUGAAAUGUUUCUUUGUAUUCGCCUAAGGAUAGAUCUGCGGCUGAUUAGGUCGUUGGUGGGGUAAUGGCCCACCAAGCCGAUGAUCGGUACGGGUUGUGAGAGCAAGGGCCCGGAGAUGGAACCUGAGACAAGGUUCCAGACCCUACGGGGUGCAGCAGGCGCGAAACCUCCGCAAUGUACGAAAGUGCGACGGGNGGAUCCCCAGUGUUAUUCUUAAUAGG
rnacentral:rRNA from 1 species